rnacentral:rRNA from 1 species
UACGUAGGGGGCAAGCGUUGUCCGGAAUCAUUGGGCGUAAAGCGCGUGUAGGCGGUUCGGUAAGUCUGCUGUGAAAGUCCAGGGCUCAACCCUGGGAUGCCGGUGGAUACUGUCGGACUAGAGUACGGAAGAGGCGAGUGGAAUUCCCGGUGUAGCGGUGAAAUGCGCAGAUAUCAGGAGGAACACCAAUAGCGAAGGCAGCUCGCUGGGACGUUACUGACACUAAGGCGCGAAAGCGUGGGGAGCGAACAGG